CCGGUCCACUCUGAUUUCUGCAUUGGCAGUGAGUCAACCGGUUCAAUAACCGGUUCUGCUGGACAGAACCGGCCGUAGAACCGGUUCAUUACGGGUUUGCUUAUAAAAACUUCGUUUCUCGACCAAAUCAGCCCCCACUCGUUCCCACAAACCCUAAACUGAUUUCUAAACAUUUAUAGACAAUUCCCAAUCACAUUUUGGUGCCUCAAGACACUUGCCAUUAUUCCACUAUUUUUCUGAGUUUUCCUUGCUCUUUUGGAUUGCUAAGACCCGUCGACUGCUCGUGCUUCGGAGUCGGAUCAGGUUUAGUUGCUUGUCAAGUUUUCACGUGGAUUUGCAAGCAGGUUAUGAUCUGAGAGAGUCUGGUGAUCUCCGCAUUUACUUUUCUUCGGAGGUUCCAUUUAUUUUUGAUAAACUGUAAAACUGUUUUAUUCUUAGACCGCAGUAGUAACUAGACGUCUUUAUUAUUACUGUA